rnacentral:rRNA from 1 species
ACGUAGGGGGCGAGCGUUAUCCGGAUUCAUUGGGCGUAAAGCGCGCGCAGGCGGCCUGCUCGGUCGGGAGUCAAAUCCGGGGGCUCAACCCCCGCCCGCUCCCGAUACCGGCGGGCUUGAGUCUGGUAGGGGAAGGCGGAAUUCCCAGUGUAGCGGUGGAAUGCGCAGAUAUUGGGAAGAACACCGGUGGCGAAGGCGGCCUUCUGGGCCACGACUGACGCUGAGGCGCGAAAGCUAGGGGAGCGAACAG